UACGGAGGAUCCAAGCGUUAUCCGGAUUUAUUGGGUUUAAAGGGUGCGCAGGCGGAAUGAUAAGUCAGUGGUGAAAUCUUACGGCUCAACUGUAAAACUGCCAUUGAUACUGUCGUUCUUGAGUAUAGUUGAAGUGGGCGGAAUGUGUCAUGUAGCGGUGAAAUGCAUAGAUAUGACACAGAACACCGAUUGCGAAGGCAGCUCACUAAACUGUAACUGACGCUCAUGCACGAAAGCGUGGGGAGCAAACAGG
rnacentral:rRNA from 1 species